rnacentral:rRNA from 1 species
GACGAACGCUGGCGGCGUGCCUAACACAUGCAAGUCGAGCGAGAGACUUCGGUCUCUAGCGGCGGACGGGUGAGUAACACGUGGGUAACCUGCCUCAUAGAGGGGGAUAGCCUCCCGAAAGGGAGAUUAAUACCGCAUAAUAUGUCUUGAUCGCAUGAUCAAGACAUUAAAGGAGAAAUCCGCUAUGAGAUGGACCCGCGGCGCAUUAGCUAGUUGGAGAGGUAAAGGCUCACCAAGGCGACGAUGCGUAGCCGACCUGAGAGGGUGAUCGGCCACAUUGGAACUGAGACACGGUCCAGACUCCUACGGGAGGCAGCAGUGGGGAAUAUUGCACAAUGGGGGAAACCCUGAUGCAGCAACGCCGCGUGAGUGAAGAAGGCCUUCGGGUUGUAAAGCUCUGUCAUUGGGGACGAUAAUGACGGUACCCAAUGAGGAAGCCACGGCUAACUACGUGCCAGCCGCCGCGGUAA